UUUAUGGAGAGUUUGAUCCUGGCUCAGGAUGAACGCUGGCGGCGUGCCUAAUACAUGCAAGUCGAGCGAACAGAUAAGGAGCUUGCUCCUUUGACGUUAGCGGCGGACGGGUGAGUAACACGUGGGUAACCUACCUAUAAGACUGGAAUAACUCCGGGAAACCGGGGCUAAUGCCGGAUAACAUGUUGAACCGCAUGGUUCUACAGUGAAAGACGGUCUUGCUGUCACUUAUAGAUGGACCCGCGCCGUAUUAGCUAGUUGGUGGGGUAACGGCCUACCAAGGCGACGAUACGUAGCCGACCUGAGAGGGUGAUCGGCCACACUGGAACUGAGA
rnacentral:rRNA from 1 species